GACGAACGCUGGCGGCGUGCUUAACACAUGCAAGUCGAACGGAGUGGCCAGCGGGUGAGUAACACGUGGGUGACCUGCUCUGCACUUCGGGGUAAGACCGGGAAACUGGGGCUAAUACCGGAUAGUGUGGGAUGGGCUCGCGGCCUAUCAGCUUGGGGGGGGGGUAAUGGACUACCGAGGCGGCGACGGGUAGCCGGCCUGAGAGGGUGGACGGCCACAUGAGUACUGAGAGACGGACCAGUCUCCUACGGGGGGCAGCGGUUGGGAGUAUUGCGCAAUGGGCGGAAGCCUGAUGCGGCGGCGCCGCGUGGGGAAUGACGGCCUUCGGGUUGUAAACUCCUUUCGCCAUCUACGCGGUAGAUGGAGAAGAAGCACCGGCUAACUACGUGCCAGCAGCCGCGGUAAUUC
rnacentral:rRNA from 1 species